rnacentral:rRNA from 1 species
AUGGGGGUACAAGGACUGGUGGGCAAGGUUUCAUCAUGGAAUGUGAUCCUUUCUCCUGAGAUCAUCUUAAUUGUGAGUUCCAUUUUUGGAAGAUCAAAGGUAACUGGACUGUGUGUAUACAUCCAAUCAGCCCCUAAGAUCAUAUCAUAUCCACACAAUUUAAGGAUUCUGAAAUCUGAAAAAGUGUGUCCUUGGAUUGAGUACUCUGUUUUAAAGCAAGCAAAAUCACUGGCAAGUUUUCCCCCGUUGGCUACAGUCACCUGCACAUGCUUCACUGGUGAUAUCACACAACCAGAUUUAAGGGCUAUUUCUGGUGAUAGAAAAGUGGUUGUGCUACCACUAUCAACUGGCCUCACCGACCAGUUCUUCCGCCGCCGACACCCUGUACGCCACCUGAGAGUAGCACUAGAAGGGUGGGUUGGGUGGGAUUUUACUCUGAAGAAGUGUUCUUCAGAAACCUCCGCCGCAAACCUUCUUGCUACCGAUCGAUCUACCGCCGCCGUUCGCCUCCCUACUGCUCACCGCCGCCUUCUGCCCCGCAUCCAGAUCGGAUCUGGCUCCAAUUCGCCACCGCCAAGGCCAAAACCUUGCUCUGAUUACCACUUGACAGGAUCGAACUAUGAACUGUCCUAA